rnacentral:rRNA from 1 species
GUAGGUGGCAAGCGUUGUCCGGAAUUAUUGGGCGUAAAGCGCGCGCAGGCGGUUCUUAAGUCUGAUGUGAAAGCCCACGGCUCAACCGUGGAGGGUCGAUUGGAAACUGGAGAACUUGAGUACAGAAGAGGAAAGCGGAAUUCCACGUGUAGCGGUGAAAUGCGUAGAGAUGUGGAGGAACACCAGUGGCGAAGGCGGCUUUCUGGUCUGUAACUGACGCUGAGGCGCGAAAGCGUGGGGAGCAAACAGGAUUAGAUACCCUGGUAGUCCACGCCGUAAACGAUGAGUGCUAAGUGUUAGGGGGUUUCCGCCCCCCUUAGUGCUGCAGCUAACGCAUUAAGCACUCCGCCUGGGAGUACGGCCGCAAGGCUG